rnacentral:misc_RNA from 1 species
CGAGAACAAAGAUUGGACCGGGAAAAAAAAAGGGGGGAAAGUCAAGUCUAAGCGCAUAUGGUACGAACGAUCUCGACGCGAAAGUUCUGCCUUUUUCGGGCAGAUUUGCUCAGUUUGAUUGUGCAAAUCUGUGUUUCAUUUAUUUUGUCAUAUCUCAUUGGGUUACCAAUAAUUGCUUUUUGCGAUGAAAAUGGCAGUGCUUCGGAACAGGAAACCGACACUGAGGUAGGCGCACAGGUAUCCAAUAUUGGGGUUCGCUCCUAUGGCGAAAGUGGGUCAAAUACAGAGGCCGGGUCCUCUUCUCGAAGUAGGGUGGACCUCAAUAUGACGGCAAGUCCAAAUCCCAGGAUUACAUUACUCAUGGAGCAGUUUGAAGCAGACGAGAAAAAACUCGAUAUUCUUUUACAGAGGACCCACCGUUGUAAAGAAGAAGUCCUUUCGGACAUGAAGGAAUUGGCAGAAAUUAUAGAACGCGGAAACAAAAUUUUUGCGGAACUGGAAGAAUGCUACGCCAUAGAUCGCAUUCGUCAAGAGGAAGAAGCUCAACAACGAGCGAAACACGAGGAUCUGAGACGACAGGUCGAUCCAACUCUAUUGCAGCACAUCGAGGAACAAAAAACUCGAAGGCGGACUUUCAGAGAAAGACUUCCCGACCUCGAACAGAAAAAUUGGGAGCAAUUUAACCGUGAUCGGGGAAGAUAUAGGUAAUCUUCCUAGAAUUCUGCCUGGGGAGGAGAGAAGGAGAAGCUGCUCCCUGGGCACGGAUCGAAGAUCCCUCUUGGCUUGGCUUGGUAAGCAAGCAACCAGGCG